rnacentral:tRNA from 2 species
CCGCCUGUAGCUCAUCCGGAUAGAGCAAUUGCCUUCUAAGCAAUAGGUAGCUGGUUCGAGCCCAGCCAGGCGGGCCA